UCAUAGCCCUGAUAGAAGCGGUAUCCUUUUUCUUGAUUCUUUAUCAAGGAAAAGAUACAAGUGGAUAGCAGGAAUAGCU
rnacentral:sRNA from 2 species